GCAGUCAACUUUGCGGCAGCGUAAAGGAAGCCUCACACACCAUAAACUCCUCCAGCAGACAGCAGCAUUAGUAGCAGCAUCAGUAGCAGCAUCAGUAGCAGCAUCCCAGCUCCACCGAAGAGACUGAAGACACCAAGAGUCAAUUCACUCAGAUGGGACUGCCUUGACUGGAGCUGAGCUGUGCGUGUUGGAACAUGCCUUGACUUGUACCGGCUUACCAGGAUAAGGAAGGAGAGAGCCUUGAGCCCUGUGGGCAACAGUUUCACCAUGACCUGUGUGAAGUGACCCUCAGAGAGAGAAACCAGACCAGCAGGGUGGCUCAACACUGGCUGUUGACCGUACUGGACACACUAGACAGGACCAGAACAGGACCCGGGAUCUUCAGCUGGACCCAGUCUAUACUCCGGGCUCAGUCCUAACACUGGACCAGAACAGGACCCUGGAUCUUCAGCUGUACCCAGUCUAUACUCCGGGCUCAGUCCUAACACUGGACCAGAACAGGACCCUGGAUCUCCAGCUGGACCCAGUCUAUACUCCGGGCUCAGUCCUAACACUGCUCUACUGCUAGCUCUUGGGGAUUCCCCCUCACAGUGAAACCUCCAGCAGCCGAGACAGCAGACAUCCUCCACUACCGAUCUACUACCUGGACACCAGGAGGAUGGGCUCAUUGUAAUGGCUGGAAUGGAAUUAAUGGAACGGUGUCAAACACAUCAAACAUA